GACAGAGGAUGCAAGCGUUAUCCGGAAUGAUUGGGCGUAAAGCGUCUGUAGGUGGCUUUUUAAGUCUGCCGUCAAAUCCCAGGGCUUAACCCUGGACAGGCAGUGGAAACUACAUAGCUAGAGUAAGGUAGGGGUAGAGGGAAUUCCUGGUGUAGCGGUGAAAUGCGUAGAGAUCAGGAAGAACACCGGUGGCGAAGGCGGCUCGCUGGGCCGGACCUGACGCUGAGACGCGAAAGCUAGGGGAGCAAACGGG
rnacentral:rRNA from 1 species